GACGAACGCUGGCGGCGUGCUUAACACAUGCAAGUCGAACGGAAAGGCCCUGCUUUUGUGGGGUGCUCGAGUGGCGAACGGGUGAGUAACACGUGAGUAACCUGCACUUGACUUUGGGGUAACUUCAGGAAACUGGGGCUAAUACCGGAUAGGAGCUCCUGCUGCAUGGUGGGGGUGGGAAAGUUUCGGCGGUUGGGGAUGGACUGGCGGCUUAUCAGCUUGUUGGUGGGGUAGUGGCUUACCAAGGCUUUGACGGGUAGCCGGCCUGCGAGGGUGACCGGCCACAUUGGGACUGAGAUACGGCCCAGACUCCUACGGGAGGCAGCAGUGGGGAAUAUUGCACAAUGGGCGGAAGCCUGAUGCAGCAACGCCGCGUGCGGGAUGACGGCCUUCGGGUUGUAAACCGCUUUCGCCUGUGACGAAGCGUGAGUGACGGUAAUGGGUAAAGAAGCACCGGCUAACUACGUG
rnacentral:rRNA from 1 species